rnacentral:tRNA from 1 species
GGCCUCGUAGCUCAGCUGGUAGGGCAUGCGCGUAACAAAGCGUAGGCGGCGUUCAUGCGUGGGUUCGAAUCCCACCGAGGCUA